GUAGGGGCCUAGCGUUGUCCGGAUUUAUUGGGCGUAAAGAGCUCGUAGGCGGUUCAGUCAGUCGGGUGUGAAAACUCCGGGCUCAACUCGGAGACGCCACCCGAUACUGCUGUGACUUGAGUCCGGUAGGGGAGCAGGGAAUUCCAGGUGUAGCGGUGAAAUGCGCAGAUAUCUGGAGGAACACCGGUGGCGAAGGCGCUGCUCUGGGCCGGUACUGACGCUGAGGAGCGAAAGCGUGGGUAGCAAACAGGAUUAGAUACCCUGGUAGUCCACGCCGUAAACGUUGGGCACUAGGUGUGGGUCCUAACCAACGGGAUCCGUGCCGAAGCAAACGCAUUAAGUGCCCCGCCUGGGGAGUACGGCCGCAAGGUUAAA
rnacentral:rRNA from 1 species